rnacentral:rRNA from 1 species
GUGGGGAAUAUUGGACAAUGGGCGGAAGCCUGAUCCAGCCAUGCCGCGUGUGUGAAGAAGGCCUUUUGGUUGUAAAGCACUUUAAGCGAGGAGGAGGCUCUUAAGGUUAAUACCCUUGAUGAGUGGACGUUACUCGCAGAAUAAGCACCGGCUAACUCUGUGCCAGCAGCCGCGGUAAUACAGAGGGUGCGAGCGUUAAUCGGAUUUACUGGGCGUAAAGCGUGCGUAGGCGGCUGAUUAAGUCGGAUGUGAAAUCCCUGAGCUUAACUUAGGAAUUGCAUUCGAUACUGGUCAGCUAGAGUAUGGGAGAGGAUGGUAGAAUUCCAGGUGUAGCGGUGAAAUGCGUAGAGAUCUGGAGGAAUACCGAUGGCGAAGGCAGCCAUCUGGCCUAAUACUGACGCUGAGGUACGAAAGCAUGGGGAGCAAACAGGAUUAGAUACCCCAGUAGUCC